UCUCCAUAACUCUCAUAAAAACUCCCAUGUGCACAAUAUUCACUUAGAUAUUUUUGUACAAAAUGAAUACAAGUUAAAAUCACCAAGUACAAACUAAAUGAUCACUCUAUAUAUAUUGUAGAAAUCUUCCCUCACAUUUCUUCCUCCUUACCUCUCUAAGUCUUGAACCCUCUCCUGUUUCCUCUAUCUCUUUUUCUCUCAUUUCAUCACCUUCUCAAACACUUUAUUUCUCUCUUUUUGAGCAGCCAAAGAAGCCAAGAGGAGGCCUUCAUUUACAACCCUUUUUUCAGCCUUCUUUCUUCCUUUUCUUCUCGAGAAUAACAGCCCCAAAACACCCGUUAAUCCCUUGUGUAGCUACUAAUUUUUGAAGAUCAAAACAACCCCAUAGGAUGAUUUCGAGUGAAAAAAGGAACCAAAAUAGCCCCAAAAGGAGCAGUUUUCAAGUGGUAUAAAACCCCAAAAAACUGCCAUAUUUUGCACCUUAAAAGCUCUUGUGUGGCUGCUGAAUUUCGAGGAACAAAACUGCCCCAAAAAGAGCUAUUUUCGAGUAUUAAAAGGUCCAAGAAGUUUCCAUCUUUUGCUCCUAAACUUUACUUAUCUUGAACUCUCUUUUGAACCUCUUCUUGUCUCAAAAGUCUUAGAUUGUCCAAAAACCUCUGCGUUCAAAAGCUGGUGAUACCUGAAAAACGUCCCGAACUCGAAAAGAAUUAACCUCACAUGACUAGGGGUUUCUGGUUUUAUGUGUGAGCCAUUAGAGGCAUCAUCCUUUUGCUACUAAGCUUUCCAAGACCAACAACUAUAAGAGAUUGAAGUGAUUUGUUUACUACAACAAAUUAAAGGUAUGUAACCCUAACUUGGUAUUUUGAUUACAUUAGAGUUCAUGUUAGUUUUGUUGUUCAUUGUAUGUUACACACAAAGUGUUAUGACAUAGAUCCUUUAGGUUGCAUGUGCCCUUAAGUGCUAAGUGAAAUUCCACAAGACAUUGAUUUUUGUAACCUAUAACACCCAUUAGUGGUAUCAGAGGCUUGGUGUGCCUAACAUUGAUUGUACAUGAUAUGACCUAAACGAAUCUAAAAUUUUCGAAAAACUCUUUCUCAUGAUGUGACAGGCCUUCUGUCACGAUGUGAGAUUGGUCUGACAACAAACUCUUAUCCAUGAUGAAGAUGUUAACGCAACAGAUGACUCAACAAUAGGAAGAUAAUAGAACACUGCUUAAGGAGAUUGCCGAUGAUAGGAUGGUGACAGUUACGUAUAGUUACCGAGGUUUCACUUUAGAGGUCUUUGGCGGGAGGUUCCCAAUCGGUUUAUUUCAAUCGCGAUGCAGGAAUUACGCGUGAUUGUGGAAAUAUUUGGAUGGGAACAUUGGUGUCAGGAUUGUUUGUCUUCACAAACAAGUACGUGUUUGAACCCUAGUGGGGAGAAUCAUCAAUUAAGAGUGAUACCUUAGUCGGAGCAUGACAACAUGUGUGGUCAUAGGGCUCGAAGUUACCCGUUGUGUUACAAUGUAGAGUAUUCAGCUAUUAUGAAGAAUAUGUAUGUUGAAAAAGAAUAUAAGGUGGUUGAAAAAGAACAGGUCAUUAGAGAGUUCCAUGGGUUUAUCCCUUGAAAUUUUGUUGGGGAUACCAAUGGUGCGUCGGAUGGGGUUCCAUUUAGUUUGAUUUUAGGGUGUCUCAUAGUGGAGCUUUGUGUGGAAGAAGGUCUACUUAGCUCCAUAAAACAAUUGAUCACUUAGAAUCCAAAUAGUGUGCGUCGUUAAUAUAGGUUGGGACUGGAUCCAUCCUGGGGCAUCAACAGAGGUUCGUUGGAUUCCAAGUAGGGAAGAAUUACUCAUCAUAAUAAGAGAUCAAGGACUGCACAAACUUCGGUAUGGUAAGGAAGGCUUGAGUCAGCUGUUGUAGAUUUUGAAAUCUUUAGUCUCGCCAGUUGAUGAAUAGGAGAGAUAAAAGGCAGACAACCAUCCAAGAUGGAUGAUUUGGUUCAGGUGUGGUGUAUCGUUGUGGCCUAUUAUGUAUUCAAGAGUGUCAUGGAUUCGAUCUUUAUAACGGAUGUAACUUGUUUUGAGUAAUGUUCAUCAGGUGUUUUGAUUCAUCAACAUUGACUCACAUGUUAAGUAAUUAGAUAGGCUCUAGUUUAAGAUCACGAUGACAGUACCCUUGCUUGUUCUUGUCUGGUAAAGUCUCGGAGUUUCGAGGCAUGGUUCGAAAAUCGGAUAGUAUCGUCUAGGUUCCUAGGGUUAUCUACUUCAUUUUGUUCUUAUCUACUACUAUUAUUAUGGGAUGUGGUGUUGGAUAAGGUGUAUAAGUCCGUAACUAUAUUUGGCAUCAACUUGACCCGACCCGGCAUGGUCCAUUUGGGUUGCACUUCACCUAACAGUUUGUUUGGAUAUACUUUUGAGAAUAAGAUGUUUAUGAUAUAUUAAUAUAUUAUUGGUUAUAAUAUAUUAAUAUGAUAUCAUAAUUAUUUAAUUAGUAUUGAUCAAGAAUUAAUUUAGAAUUAAUUUAGUGAUCAAAAUGGAGCUAAUUAAAUAUGGACUCUUAUUUAUAUAUAUGGAUUAGGCUAAGAUUUAUUUAGGAUGGGCUAAGAGUAUAUGGAGUCCAUGGAUAGUCCAUGGAGGUUUUAACCCAUGGAUCCUAGGUAAAUGAAGAGUCAUGGGUAUUAGGGUUUAACCCUAAUCCUCCAUACUAUAUAAAGGAGUCUUUGUUUCUAGAAUUGGCACUAGUAUGUGUGAGCAUAAGAGUGAGCCGAUUUCUAUAAGUGUUCUUAUUCUCUCAAGAGCUUCUAAUUUGUUUUGGUGAUUUGUGACACCACUUGAGGCAUCCACAAUAUUGGUGCUGGGCUCAUAAACUCCAAGCAAUCAACCACAAAAGUAAGGUAUGUUAUUCUACUUAAAGUUUUGUGUUACAAGUACCCUAUAACAUGCUAGUUAGAUUGUGAACCUUGGAAAUAAAAUUUACAUGUAUUUUAGAGAAAACAUAGAUCCAAGGUUUCUAGGGUUGCAUGUACACCAUAGGAGUGUUAGUAUGCUCAAAACCCAACAGUGGUAUCAGAGCCUAGGCUUGUUUUCUUGAUACUUGAUGCAAACUUAUUGAAAAAGUUGAAAAAUCUGCAAUCUGACGCAUUAACUCACCGAGUCUAUGGGGGGACUCAACGAGUCCAUGACCAAACUCAUCCUACUCGUCGAGUAGGUUCUUGCACUCGACGAGUAGGAGCCCCAUAAUGCAGUUUUUCGACUUUUGUUGCCGGAAAUGGACUAGAAACAUUAACCUAAACUGUUUUGGUGUUUUAAAACUUAUUUUAGAUGGUGUAAUGUUUAUGCUAAUCCAUUUACAAUGGCUAAUAUCAAAAUUCCAUGUUUUAUACGUGUUAAUAUGAUUCUUGUAAUUUUGAUAUGAAUGUUCAUGUUCUUAUGAGUUUUAGAAGAUCAUGUAAAUUAUGUGUUAUUUGCUUGUAGUGUAAUUCUUGAUCUUAAUGGCUAAUAAUGGAAUUCAUAACUUGUCCUCAAGUUAUGGAUAACCAAAAUUCACUUCUUUAAAAGUGUCAUUAAAGAAUAAGAAGUUACAUAAAAUGAAGAGUUUUUUUUAUGGAUCAUUAAAACUCAUAAGUUAUGAAAUGAAAAGUCUUGAAUAGUUUCAAUACUUGCCCUCAAGUCUUGGAAUUUAUAAAGUCUCACACAUUAAUACUUUAAUUCCAAAUAGAUCCUUGGAAUUUUAAAAGUUUAAAAUUCAACCCUUAUACUUUUAUAAUAUUAAAAGUUUAAUCAUUAUAUAUGUUAUACUCUCACCCACCGCUUCCUUGACUGGUGGAGGGUUGUUAGUCGAACAGGUAGGAUGGGACCUGAAUCCUCAUUAAAAGUAUAAUGAAAUUAUAAAGUAACUAAACCUUUAUUAAUUCUCAAUCUUAGUUACUUUAGGAAAAUGUGAAAUAGGUGCUAACCCAUGAAAUUACACUUUGUACCUUACUAAGUCAUUAGUGGAGCGUGUGUGGUUAACCGGCACACUAACAAGGACUAGUAAGAGUGGCAAAGGGUGACUUAAGUUUUAUCAUAGAUCGGUGGAUCACGUGUGGUUAACCGACACAUCGAUUAGGUCUUAAAAUUAAGGGUACCAAGUCAAUUUGCAUGGUUAUUUACACCUUGUUUGUGAUCCUCGGCAUCCCAGUCACAAACUUAAGAGGGAACAAUCAAGAUUCAAACAUGCCAUUGAAAGUUCAAUGUAUCUCAAAAGAUCUAGGAGUUUCAAAUCCAAUUAAAACUUAAUAAUUUAUUUCGUUUAUAAUGGUGGAAAUUGGUAAAUCGUCAUUUACCUACCUUCAAAUAUUUCAUAGCUUGGAUUAUGGCAUCCCUCUUCCAAGUUAUGAAAUAGUUUGUGGGGUCCUGGCCUUUAUAUUUCAUUUGGGUGACUUAUUAAGGAUUAUUCAUCUAAUUAAACUUGUCCUUUUUUAUUUCUGAUGUCUUCCAACGCUACUACUAGCUCAAACCGUACAAGCUCCUUUUCCCUCAUGAACUUAUGUGGGAAAGUCACUUUUGAUGGGUCUAACUUCAAUGAAUGGAUUAGAAACAUCAGGAUGAUUACCCGCUAUGAGAACAAGGAAUAUGUCCUUGAUAAGGAGCUCAAGGUUAUCAAUGAGUCCACUGCUACUCCUGAGGAGCUUGCGGAGUACACUGCACAUGAGAGGGAUGCUACCAAAUUGUCCUGCAUCAUGUUGGCAACCAUGACUCCCGAACUCCAGAAAUCCUAUGAAGAUUUCUACCCCUAUGAGAUGCACCUGGAUCUGAUGGAUAGGUACCAUCAAAGCGCGCGUCAAGAAAGGUAUGAAAUCAUCUCCUCCAUGAUAAUGGCCAGGAUGAAGGAUGGUGAAACCAUCACCGGUCACUUGCAAAAAAUGCAAAGGUUCGUGGACCGGUUGCUGAAGCUGAAUGUGGACUUCCCUGAGGACUUGGCGAUUGAUAUCAUUCUCCAUUCCUUACCUCCAUGUUAUGAUCAGUUUUGUAUGACUUAUCAUAUGAACAAGGAGGAAGUUACACUUAGCAAACUUCAAGGACUUUUAAGGACCGCUGAAAGUGGCCUUAAAGGUAAGUCGACUGUUACUUUUACUCCUACUACAGUAGCUCCUGUUCUGGAAAUUGGGCAGGGAAAAGGGAAGAAGAGGAAGACCCCUUCGAAGGGUACCAAGGGAAAGUCCCUUGAUGGCUCCUCUUCAAGUGGGACCAAGAAAGGUCUCAUUCCUCCUUCUUCAAACUCAAAGGAAGCACAAUGCUUCUACUGCCACGAAAAGGGGCACUGGAAGCGAAGCUGGCCCAAGUACUUGUAGGAUGUGAAGGAUGGGAAAGUUAAACCCACCCAUGCAGGGCCUAAGAAGUAGUGAAGAAAUGGAGCACGGGAAGAUAAACCUAAUCAUGGGCAAUAGGAAAGCAUCAUAUGUAACCAAGAUUGGAGUUUAUUCUUUAUUGCUUAAUAAUGGGUUAACUUUAGAUUUGAAUAAAUGUUGUUACUCGUCAGAAAUGGCGAGAAAUAUUAUUUCCCUUCAUAGUUUGUACAAACAAGGUUUCACCUUUUCAUUUGAUAAUAAAAUUGGUGCUAUUGAUGCUUUUUAUAA